CAACAAGCCAUUUCGCUCAGCAGUUAAAAUGAACAGAGCACGGAAGAUGGUAUAUAAGAGUGGAGGUUGUCGAGGGGGCCAAGUCCCGAGUCAUUCACAGUGAACGCCACUAGUAUGGUAAAUUAACUGACGUCAGGUAAUAAUGUAUUCCAUCCUUCGGCUCUGUGUUGUCGGUGCCGUAAUCUGUCACGUGACUCUGGCUAACGUGGCUAUUCCCCCUUUACCUCCACAAGCGGAUUGCGAAAAGGACGGGCAGACCAUACCUAUGGGUGUUUCCCUGAUCAUCGGAGUGGAACUGUGCAAAUGUGGCGAUGAUGGCCUCAACUGCAAGCCCUUCUUAUUUGAAUAAAUCCCCCUAACAAUAAAGGUUUUCUUCCACCUGC